UACGGGGGGAGCAAGCGUUGUUCGGAUUUACUGGGCGUAAAGAGCGCGCAGGCGGUCGGAUCAGUCGAAUGUGAAAGCCCCCGGCUCAACUGGGGAGGGUCAUUCGAUACUGUCCGACUCGAAGGCAGGAGAGGGAAGCGGAAUUCCCGGUGUAGUGGUGAAAUGCGUAGAUAUCGGGAGGAACACCAGUGGCGAAGGCGACUACCUGGCCUGUUCUUGACGCUGAGGCGCGAAAGCGUGGGGAGCAAACAGGG
rnacentral:rRNA from 1 species